CAAAUUGUCUGCGGUUAGAAAGGUAUGAUCUAAACCAAGCGAGUGCUGAGUCUUUAAUGCCUAUCAAAUGUUCAAGCCUGUGGAGUAGUAUGUUGUGGUCUAUGGUGUCAAAGGCAGCACUGAGGUUGGAAAACACUGUA